CCCUCCACCAUAAUCCACCUCGAUAAUGUCAUAGCGGUUCUUAGGCGAAGCCCUGCGUCGGUAGUACAUCAAGAUCGUCACCACGCCGUCGUGCUGACGGAACUCUCCCUCGACACUCGGCUGGAUCGGAGUUUGAGGGACGUCAUCGAGCUGAACGUGUGCUAGAACUCGGAGGUGCCGUAGUUUCGGUGCUUGAUCGGUCGGGCCGUGAAGACGUACGACUACAUCAACCGCGUUGUUCUAACGCUUCCGCUUUCGGUCUACGAGGGUACAUGGACAACACUCUCCCCUCUCGCUGCUAUGCCAUCACCAUGAUCUUGCGUGUACGUAGGAAUUUUUUUAAAUUACUACGUUCCCCAACACUAAUUUGAAGCAGGCGGUGAAGAAGUUCGUGGGCAAUUGUGCCAUUUGCAAACAGGCCAAGCCAGAGCAUGUCAGGUACCCCGGCCUUCUCCAACCCCUACCGAUUCCACAACAGGCUUGGGAAAUGGUGACCUUAGAUUUUGUUGAAGGACUGCCCAAGUCAAAAGGCUACAACUCCAUCCUAGUGGCCGUGGAUAAACUCACACAGUACACCCACUUCAUCCCCCUCCGGCAUCCAUUCUCUGCACUGCAAGUGGCCAAAGCAUACAUGGAGAAUGUAUUCAAAUUGCAUGGACCUCCGGACAAGAUGGUUUCAGAUAGGGACCGGAUCUUCACUAGUCGGGUGUGGCAAGAACCGGCCAAGCUGACACGGACCACACUGAACAUAUCAUCAUCGCGGCACCCGCAGACCGACGGCACAACGGAGAGGGUGAACCAGUGCAUGGAGCUUUACUGGAGAUGUUUUGUCCACAAUUGUCCGAGCAAAUGGGCUGAGUGGCUGGCAUUGGCAGAAUUUUGGUAUAACACCUCCUACCACUCUGUGCUCAAAUCAUCUCCCUUCAAGGUGUUGUAUGGACACAAACCCCGAUUCUUUGGUAUCACCAAUAUCGCAGACGAUACUGUGUCUGACCUGGCGGCUUGGACGAAAGACCGAGCCACAGUGCUGCAAUCCCUGAAGCAGCACUUGCACCGCGCUCGCCAAGUAAUGAAGGCCAAGGCAGACCAGAAGAGAACAGACCGGGUGUUUGCAGUUGAGGACUGGGUGUACCUCAAGCUACAACCGUAUGCACAAUCAUCGGUCGCGGCUUGAGCUAACCACAAAUUGGCUUUUUGAUACUUUGGUCCGUUUCAGGUCAUUGGGCGGGUCGGCGAAGUGGCAUACAAGUUGGCACUGCCGGAGCACACCAAGAUCCACCUCGUCAUCCAUGUAUCCCAGCUUCGCGCGGGUGUUCCUCCGGACACAGAAAUCAUGCCGGAGCUGCCAGUCCUCGACGAAGAUCUUCUACCAUUCCAAGUACCAGCAGCCGUCCUUCAGCGUCGAGACGUGCAGCGUGGAGCCCGGCAAGUACCGCAAGUACUGGUGCACUGGUCUAGUUUUCCCCCGUCGCUGUCCACCUGGGAGGAUGAAGUGCCCCUUCGCGCCCGGUUCCCUCGAGCUUUGGCUUGGGGACAAGCCAAAAUGCAACGGGGGAGGAAUGUCACGGGAACUACCGAAGGCCAAGGCCCAGCACCACCAGACCGGCCCAAGAGGAGGAGCAAGCCCAACAGUCAAGUGACCGGGCCCAUGUGGAGCUAGUGAGAUUACUUAAGGGCGAGACAAGUGGAGAGCUAGGUAUCGAUUAAUCGAGAACCUGAUGGCGCCGCGAGGCGAUGUAUCCCCUCUCUCACCUCCGGCUCUCAUCUCCCGAUCCCCUUUCUUGCUGAAAACCCUAGCUACUUGUAUCCCUGUUUCGAUCAAUUGAGAGUACAUCCUACCGCCUAGACACUAGAUCCGUGUCAAUACCGCAGAAAAGUUGGCGUGCAAUUAAUUAAGUUCCCAAUAUUUCGGGACGGCAGAAAAUAGCUAGACACACCACCACGUACGUAACAUCAGUGACCAAUAUAAGCAUGUGUUCUACUUCUAUAUAUGUACAUCUAGUUACGUACGUGCGCGCCACGGCUAACAUCACUGUCAUCGAUCGGCGCGUGAUACUCCACUAGUUAGACAGUGACGCCCUAUCAACCUCAUCAUCGAUCCACCGAUCGACGACAGCUGCUCGCUCGCUCGUAUAUGCAUGCUGCGGCAACGUCGUAUCCGGACACCAAAAGGGAAGGAGAAUUGAUUGAUGGCGCCAUUUUGAUACUGUAGCUGCAUACGUGAUUAGCAUUAAGGGCCGAGACCUCGUAAACCGUCGUUUUCGUUGUAGGUAGGAGAAGGAGUAGUCAGCUACCUCCGCCCAUGCAGCGACGUCGACGUGCUACUCCGAUCAUACCUCGGAAUGUUCGGAGUUGUGCCAACGCGCCUCAUUUCUGAAACUUGGGAAAAAUGGCACGCGAGCGAACGUAAUACUGAAGCUCGAAUCCAGACGGAGGAGCCGACAGUUCAGGGAGAGCAGACGCGUACGUGCUCCGUGCAGCCGUAAGCCAGAUUCAGGUUUCAAUGAGCUGCAGGUACACAAGAAUAUCUCGCCGGCAGUGGUAACUCCCCGUCGUAACUAAUUGGAUACAGUGACCCCCGUACUUGGCCGAUCGAGUAACUUCACUUGCCGGAGCCGGCCGGCAGGAGGAGGCUAAGUCGAAAUCCAUGUACUUGACCUGCUGCUUCGGCUCCAGUCCAUCUCAUCUUAUGUCAGAGUUAAUUUUGUGUUUCAUCUUCCAUGGUGUCUCGCCGGGGAGGGAACACCGGAAUUCAAUGGCCUCCAUAAGAAGGUGAGUCAACCAACCAUGGAUCCACCCACGCAUCCAUCCAUCCAGCGGCCGCUUAUUAACUUCACCAGCCAGGCCACACGCCCGUAAUGGUAGAGUACUCCUCUGUCGACGGAGCCCACCCUGUGAAACCCAGGGCAUGUGCACCUGCUGGCUCGAAGCUUCUUCUGUCUAAACUGUCUGUAGCUUGGCAGAUUUCCAUUUCACCCCCAUGCAUGCAUGCCUGCCUGCCUGCCUGCCUAGAUUUAACUGCUGCUGCUGCUCAGACACGCGUACCAGAAUUUAUCAAUAGAUGCUAUAAUAAACUCUUUGCAGCUUGGCAAAUGAUUUCACCAAUGCCUGGCUGCGUGCCUAGAUUUAACUGCUAGCUGCUCGGAGACACACGUACCUGAAUUCCGGAGUAAAUGCCGCGCGGCUGAGGGUUGGGGAUGAACUGGGCCCCUGCCUACGGCAUUGUCCUACUGCUGCAAUGCAGUACUGCUUGGGCACAGAUCCAUCCAAUUUUACAUACUCCUAUAUGGAUGGAUGGGGUUCCACUUCCACACUCCACAGUGAUGCUUCCUGAACCAUAAUCCCUGGCUAGCUAGAGCCUGGAGGAGGAGACACGCAAUUAUAUGACGAGGCGGUCGAAUGGCCGAUCGAGUCCAUGGAGGUGGUUCCCGACCUGCCGUUGGUUGAUCUCCAUUAAUGGCGCUUGCGCUGCCCAUUUGGUUAAGUAACGGAGCAUAACUGACAAGCUCAUGGUGCACUGCAAUGGCUACACAACUGGUGUAGAUUAGGGCUUUACUUUUAUUAGUGUGGGAAGAAAGGCAUGGACAGAACAGAACAGAUGUCAUAUCACUUGCUUGUUAGAGGCUGAUUUGGACAAUGUUAGGUUGAGUUGUUAGUACGAACCAAGCUCUAUUGAGCAAAGUGCGUGUGGGCUGUUGUAAGCUCUACUUCUCAAUCCUCAUUGGGAAGGUUACAUCAGCUACCACAACCACUGCCUUUGUCGAAUAAAAAAAAGUUGCAGCUACUGCAUACAGCUCAGCUGAAUCUAGGCGUCAUUGCGUGGAUGAUGGAUAGAUCCAACUGCCCUCUUGAAUGAAUAACAAGUUGCCUUAGGUCACUGUGACUGAAGAAACAUGUAACUGUAUGAAAUGGAUCCAUCUGACAUCAUCUUGCUCUUCGGUCACUCACUCCACUCCAGAGUACUCUGUCUGAAAUUCGUAAGUUCUUUGAUCUUUUAUCACCAAAACGCCGGCCAUUUCUUUCUUUUUUUCUUGCAUCUCCAACUGAUGACGAGUACUGGUUGCACUAAGAUCCAUCUGCUGUGCGGAUAUUCGGAUAGAUCGGAAUUCAUUCACCUCUACGGUGCUCGAAAUCGUCCCACCAGAUGCUUCACGUAACUGAACAGAGCUGCGUGCGUGCUUGCAUCCAUGGCUACUGAACAUUGAAAUAUCUCCCUCCCUAAUCAAACAAAUGUUAUUCGGAGGGUAAGCAGAAUUGCUCUCACAAAAGCGAUUAAUUGCAGCACACGCACUAACAAGAAAUCUAUUUUUGGCUCAGUCAGAGGCAGCUCAUCAUUCAUGUGAAACAGCCUGCAAAGAUCCAAUGCGCGUCUGAAAAUGCCCACACCAACCGAACCCCCAAACCGGCAAGGAAUUACUGUAACCCACGGGACAUAAUUAGCAGAGAAUUGAAGGUCCACGCGCAGGCACUGUGACCAGCACAGCAGUACGUGCACCAACCACACGUCGUACCGGGCCAUAGGGGAGUAAAUUCCGGCGACGACGACAUGAUCCAACCAAGAGGCCACUCACUCACUCACUCACUCACUAGAUGGAUGCACAAGUGAGUAGAUAGAUGCUCUAUAAAUGGCGACUGCACGCAACGUUCCAGUGCAUCCACCAAGUGUACACGCAUACACUAGCUACCACAUCUCACUUUCAGUGGCAAGUGAGUGAGUGAAGUGGAGUGUGGAGCGCUAGCAGCAAUGGCGGCCUCCUCGUGGCAAGUGGCGGCUCUUCUCGCCGUCGCGCUCUGCGUGCUCCCCGCGCUGCCGGCAGCGCGCGCGGCCCGGGCCUUCUUCAUCUUCGGCGACUCGCUGGUGGACAACGGCAACAACAACUACCUCCUCACGUCGGCGCGCGCCGACUCGUGGCCCUACGGCAUCGACACCCCGGACCACCGCGCCACGGGGAGGUUCUCCAACGGGAAGAACGUCGUCGACCUCAUCAGUUGAGUAGCGAGCUCGUGCAUUCAUGGAUGGACUUCACUCUUCACCCGCCGUCGGUGGUAUCUAUAGUUGAGGCUAACUGGUUGAUUGAUUAACAUUUAACAAUGUUGCACGCAGGCGAGCAGAUAGGAUCCGUGCCGGUGCUGCCGUACCUGAGCCCGGAGCUGGACGGCGAGAACCUGCUCGUCGGCGCCAACUUCGCCUCCGCCGGCAUCGGGAUCCUCAACGACACCGGCAUCCAGUUCGUACGUGCUUCGAUCCUUUCACUGAUCCAUCCACCGUUUUCAAUGCACACUUCAUUCAAUAAUUAACUCUAGUGUACACACUCUCUAAUGAGUAAUGAAUAUCGAUGCUCCGUGCAUCAUCGUGCAGGCCAACAUCAUCCGGAUCUCGAAGCAGCUCACCUACUUCGAGCAGUACAAGCACCGUCUCGCCAAGCUGUACGGCCCGGAGCGGGCGGCGCGGGUGGUCGGCGGCGCGCUGACGCUCAUCACGCUCGGCGGCAACGACUUCGUCAACAACUACUACCUGGUGCCCUACUCCGCCCGCUCCCGGGAGUUCUCCCUCCCCGACUACAUCAAGUACAUCCUCUCCGAGUACAAGCAGGUGCUCCGCCGCAUCCACGGCCUCGGCGCGCGCCGCAUCCUGGUCACCGGCGUCGGCCCCAUCGGCUGCGUGCCCGCCGAGCUCGCCAUGCACAGCCUCGACGGCAGCUGCGACCCGGAGCUGCAGCGCGCGUCCGAGGCCUACAACCCGCAGAUGGAGGCCAUGCUGAACGAGCUCAACGCCGAGGUCGGCGCCGGCAACGGCAACGGCGCCGUGUUCGUGGCCGUCAACACGCGCCGCUCGCACGACGACUUCAUCGCCGACCCCAAGGCGUACGGCUUCGUCACCGCCACCGAGGCGUGCUGCGGCCAGGGGCGGUUCAACGGCAUCGGCAUCUGCACCAUGGUGUCCAGCCUGUGCGCCAACCGCGACGAGUACGUGUUCUGGGACGCCUUCCACCCGACGGAGCGCGCCAACCGCCUCAUCGCCCAGAACUACCUCUCGGGCUCCACCGACUACAUCUCCCCCAUGAACCUCUCCACCAUCAUCCACCUCGACCGCCACCUCCACGACUAGCUACAAGCACAUUGAUCCACCAUGAUGCUUCGUUCAGCCUCGACCAUUUGCAGUCCUAUUUCUUUCUUUGAUGCUUUUCAUAUAUAGCCGGCCCUCUUGAUUUUGCCCAAGAAAAAGUUUAUAUUAUAUUCGGUACGUAUAUGUACGUGUAUUUCAGCUAGUGUGUCAGGCAGGUUGAGGUUGUUCUAGCUAGUUUGUAAUGCGUGAUCAGCUAGCUAGCAGAUAAAUAUAUCCAUGCAUGCAUGGUUGCUUGUGAGGUACCUCAUGCCACUUCUGAUCGAUCAAUGUUGAUGUUCAUGUAUUGAACCAUGGAUGUCGAUUUAGAUUCUCAAUUGUUCUUGACAGGAUUCAGUUUACCUAGCUUC
rnacentral:lncRNA from 1 species